rnacentral:miRNA from 2 species
AAUGUUAUUGUAGCGUGGUGGUGU